GACGAACGCUGGCGGCGUGCCUAACACAUGCAAGUCGAGCGGAGACAUGUUGCGGAAGUUUUCGGAUGGAAGCGAUAUGUUUUAGCGGCGGACGGGUGAGUAACGCGUGAGCAACCUUUCCUUCACAGGGGGAUAACAGUUAGAAAUGACUGCUAAUACCGCAUAAGACCACAGGAACGCAUGAUCCGGUGGUAAAAACUCCGGUGGUAUGAGAUGGACCCGCGUCUGAUUAGCUAGUUGGUGGGGUAACGGCUCACCAAGGCGACGAUCAGUAGCCGACCUGAGAGGGUGACCGGCCACAUUGGGACUGAGACACGGCCCAA
rnacentral:rRNA from 1 species